GGGGAGCCAGUCUGCAGACAAGAAGGGGGAGCAGGGAGCAGGUGGAGUGGAAGGAGUUACCUUCUCCUGUUCUCUGUUCUCCCUCUGACUGCAGGAGCAAAGGGCAUG
rnacentral:miRNA from 1 species